AGAGUUUGAUCAUGGCUCAGAUUGAACGCUGGCGGCAGGCUUAACACAUGCAAGUCGAGCGGAGAUGAGGUGCUUGCACCUUAUCUUAGCGGCGGACGGGUGAGUAAUGCUUAGGAAUCUGCCUAUUAGUGGGGGACAACAUUCCGAAAGGAAUGCUAAUACCGCAUACGCCCUACGGGGGAAAGCAGGGGAUCUUCGGACCUUGCGCUAAUAGAUGAGCCUAAGUCGGAUUAGCUAGUUGGUGGGGUAAAGGCCUACCAAGGCGACGAUCUGUAGCGGGUCUGAGAGGAUGAUCCGCCACACUGGGACUGAGACACGGCCCAGACUCCUACGGGAGGCAGCAGUGGGGAAUAUUGGACAAUGGGCGGAAGCCUGAUCCAGCCAUGCCGCGUGUGUGAAGAAGGCCUUUUGGUUGUAAAGCACUUUAAGCGAGGAGGAGGCUACUUAGAUUAAUACUCUAGGAUAGUGGACGUUACUCGCAGAAUAAGCACCGGCUAACUCUGUGCCAGCAGCCGCGGUAAUACAGAGGGUGCGAGCGUUAAUCGGAUUUACUGGGCGUAAAGCGUGCGUAGGCGGCUGAUUAAGUCGGAUGUGAAAUCCCUGAGCUUAACUUAGGAAUUGCAUUCGAUACUGGUCAGCUAGAGUAUGGGAGAGGAUGGUAGAAUUCCAGGUGUAGCGGUGAAAUGCGUAGAGAUCUGGAGGAAUACCGAUGGCGAAGGCAGCCAUCUGGCCUAAUACUGACGCUGAGGUACGAAAGCAUGGGGAGCAAACAGGAUUAGAUACCCUGGUAGUCCAUGCCGUAAACGAUGUCUACUAGCCGUUGGGGCCUUUGAGGCUUUAGUGGCGCAGCUAACGCGAUAAGUAGACCGCCUGGGGAGUACGGUCGCAAGACUAAAACUCAAAUGAAUUGACGGGGGCCCGCACAAGCGGUGGAGCAUGUGGUUUAAUUCGAUGCAACGCGAAGAACCUUACCUGGCCUUGACAUAGUAAGAACUUUCCAGAGAUGGAUUGGUGCCUUCGGGAACUUACAUACAGGUGCUGCAUGGCUGUCGUCAGCUCGUGUCGUGAGAUGUUGGGUUAAGUCCCGCAACGAGCGCAACCCUUUUCCUUAUUUGCCAGCGAGUAAUGUCGGGAACUUUAAGGAUACUGCCAGUGACAAACUGGAGGAAGGCGGGGACGACGUCAAGUCAUCAUGGCCCUUACGGCCAGGGCUACACACGUGCUACAAUGGUCGGUACAAAGGGUUGCUACCUAGCGAUAGGAUGCUAAUCUCAAAAAGCCGAUCGUAGUCCGGAUUGGAGUCUGCAACUCGACUCCAUGAAGUCGGAAUCGCUAGUAAUCGCGGAUCAGAAUGCCGCGGUGAAUACGUUCCCGGGCCUUGUACACACCGCCCGUCACACCAUGGGAGUUUGUUGCACCAGAAGUAGGUAGUCUAACCGCAAGGAGGACGCUAC
rnacentral:rRNA from 1 species